UGGCUCUCGCAUCGAUGAAGAACGCAGCGAAAUGCGAUAAGUAAUGUGAAUUGCAGAAUUCAGUGAAUCAUCGAAUCUUUGAACGCAUCUUGCGCUCCUUGGUAUUCCAUGGAGCAUGCCUGUUUGAGUGUCACGUAAACCCUCACACCUGCGAUGUAAAAAGUCGCCGGUUGUGGAUUUGGACCGUGCCGUAAUUGGCUCGUCCUUCAAAUACAUUAGCUUGUGCUCGUUAGAGUGCUCGGCAUGGUGUGAUAAUUAUCUGCGCCGUUAUGCCUUAGGCCUCUUCUGUCUGCGCUGCUUCCAAUCGUCCCCUGUGGACAACCUACACUUUAAAGCUUUGGCCUCAAAUCAGGUAGGACUACCCGCUGA
rnacentral:misc_RNA from 1 species